rnacentral:rRNA from 1 species
GACGAACCUCUGGUGCAUCGGUUGUUCUGCCAAGAGCAUAGCCGAGUAGCCAAGUUUGGAAGGGAUAAACGCUGAAGGCAUCUAAGCGUGAAGCCCCCCUCAAGAUCAGAUUUCCCACUACGCAAGUAAGUAAGACCCCUGAAAGACGAUCAGGUAGAUAGGUUCGAGGUGGAAGUGCGGUGACGUAUGGAGCUGACGAAUACUAAUCGGUCGAGGACUUAACCACAUUU